rfam:Myotis davidii contig321324, whole genome shotgun sequence.
AGACCCGGAGAGAAAAGUAGGGUCUGAUCUGUAGCCUCAGUGGUAGCUGUUGAUCAGCCCUUGCCUCUCUCUUUCUCUCUG